rnacentral:rRNA from 1 species
GGCUAACGCUGGCGGCGUGUCUUAGCCAUGCAAGUCGAGCGGACUUAUGGGGUAACUUAUAAGUCAGCGGCGGACGGCGGAGUAACACGUAGCUAACCUACCCUCUGGACGGGGAUAACCUACCGAAAGGUGGGCUAAUACCCGAUGUAGUCAUCCUGUAUAGGGGUGAUGAAAGGUGGGCUUCUGUUUACAAGCUCAUGCUGGAGGAGGGGGCUGCGGCCUAUCGGGUAGUUGGUAGGGUAAUAGCCUACCAAGCCGAUGACGGUUAGCCGGCCUGAGAGGGUGACCGGCCCGAGGGGCACUGAGAUACGGGUCCCACUCCUACGGGAGGCAGCAGGCUAGAAAUUUGGGCAAUGGGGGAAACCCUGACCCAGUGACGCCGCGUGCAGGAAGGAGCCCUUCGGGGUGUAAACUGCUGUCGUGUAGGGAGAAGGGUACUAAGGUGAACAAUCUUAGUACUUGACGGUACUACAGGAGGAAGCCCAGGCUAACCUCGUG